rnacentral:rRNA from 1 species
CACGUAGGGGGCAAGCGUUGUCCGGAUUUAUUGGGCGUAAAGAGCUCGUAGGCGGCUCGGUAAGUCGGGUGUGAAACCUCCAGGCUCAACCUGGAGACGCCACCCGAUACUGCUGUGGCUUGAGUCCGGUAGGGGAGCGUGGAAUUCCUGGUGUAGCGGUGAAAUGCGCAGAUAUCAGGAGGAACACCGAUGGCGAAGGCAGAUCUCUGGGCCGUAACUGACGCUGAGGAGCGAAAGCGUGGGGAGCGAACAGG